GAUGAAGAACGCAGCGAAAUGCGAUAAGUAAUGUGAAUUGCAGAAUUCAGUGAAUCAUCGAAUCUUUGAACGCACAUUGCGCCCUCUGGUAUUCCGGGGGGCAUGCCUGUUCGAGCGUCAUUAUAACCACUCAAGCUCUCGCUUGGUAUUGGAGUUCGCGAUCUCGCGGCUCCUAAAAUCAGUGGCGGUGCCUGUCGGCUCUACGCGUAGUAAUACUCCUCGCGAUUGAGUCCGGUAGGUUUACUUGCCAGCAACCCCCAAUUUUUACAGGUUGACCUCGGAUCAGGUAGGGAUACCCGCUGAACUUAAGCAUAUCAAUAAGCGGAGGA
rnacentral:misc_RNA from 1 species